rnacentral:misc_RNA from 1 species
UCGAGCGUCAUUACAACCCUCAAGCUCAGCUUGGUGUUGGGCUCGCCCCUUUGCGGGCCCGCCUCAAAAUCAGUGGCGGCUCCGUCCGGUCUUAAGCGCAGUAAUGCUCGUCGCUUGCUAGGCCUGGACGGCGGCCCGCCAGCAACCCCCAACUUAACAAGAUUGACCUCGGAUCAGGUAGGGAUACCCGCUGAACUUAA